rnacentral:rRNA from 1 species
UGGCGGACGGGUGAGUAACGCGUAAAGAACUUGCCCUUUAGACUGGGAUAACAGAGGGAAACUUCUGAUAAUACUGGAUAAGUUAGUAUAUCGCAUGAUAUGCAAAUGAAAGCUACGGCACUAAAGGAGAGCUUUGCGUCCUAUUAGCUAGUUGGUAAGGUAAGAGCUUACCAAGGCGAUGAUAGGUAGCCGGCCUGAGAGGGUGGACGGCCACAAGGGGACUGAGAUACGGCCCAAACUCCUACGGGAGGCAGCAGCA